rnacentral:lncRNA from 1 species
GGAUAUUACAUCGCUAUUAGUUCGAAGGCGUAUUUAGCUAUUCCUACUUGCCGGUCGCUCGUUAUUUCCUUCGGCACGCCACCACAGUACACUAUCUUUACUUUUGUACUUCCCAGCAAUAAUCCAAAUUUAAUAUUUUUAGUGUACAUCAUUUCUACUUCUCUUUUUCCUUCAAUCAUGAAUCUUUAUUCAACUAACUUAUAUCUGGACACAUUUUUUUUUCCAAAGUUGCCUUUAUCCUUUACUUGAGUAAUUCUUUAAAUUAUAAUUACCGGUAACUUAUUUAUGACUCUAGCACCCAUACUAACCUUUUCUAGCCAUUUUCAUUUAAAUUCAUCUUAUAUUUUCACACAUAAUCCACAUAUAUGGCAGCAACAAUCAUUCUCACUUUCACUCAAUUAUUUUCAAGCUUAUAUGCAUCAUUAUCUAUCUAACUUUUAAUGUUUUGCUUCUUAAUCCUCCAUCCACAUUCUUUCUUUUUCAUUUCUUUCAAACAACCUGCCAUACCAACUUAACAAUUUUUCAACUACACAACAAUAACUAUUUCUCAAGAUUUCUCAACUAUACUUAAAACAUCAUUCGUUUUUACCUUUAUGGUUGCUUGACCCGUACAUGCACUCCACUGUUCUUUCAAAACAUUAAUCAUCAAGCUGCCAAAAUGAUUCACACAUUAUUUCUCCAAAGAUUUAACCAACUGUGAGCUUAAAACACAAAAAUCUUUACCUUUCCUUGCUUGAAUCACAAAACCAAGCUUUUUCUUC